rnacentral:pre_miRNA from 1 species
UUGCAUCCGCAGUCAUGGCAGUGCACUGAAAGAUGGAUGGCCAUCUUUCAGUGCACUGCCAUGACUGCGGAUGCAAA